rnacentral:Y_RNA from 1 species
ACCCACUCCAAUGGUAGUGGGUUAUCAGAACUUAUUAACAUUAGUGUCACUAAAGUUGGUAUUCAACCCCCCACUGCUAAAUUUGACUGGCACA